rnacentral:rRNA from 1 species
CGCGGCCUGAUGCAGCUUGGUGGGGGAGGUAAUGGCUCACCAAGGCGUCGACGGGUAGCCGGCCUGAGAGGGUGACCGGCCACACUGGGACUGAGACACGGCCCAGACUCCUACGGGAGGCAGCAGUGGGGAAUAUUGCACAAUGGGCGCAAGCCUGAUGCAGCAACGCCGCGUGCGGGAUGACGGCCUUCGGGUUGUAAACCGCUUUUAGUAGGGAAGAAGGGCUUCGGCUUGACGGUACCUGCAGAAAAAGGACCGGCUAACUACGUGCCAGCAGCCGCGGUAAU